AUAAGUCUGCUGUGUGCGUGAUGUGGGAAAUUCGUAAUCCACAUUAUUUUUAAGGGAGCGGAACGUUCGCAAAAAUAGGCAAGGUCUGUAUAUGCUUUGAAUUGCAUAUAUCACACGGAAAGUCCGAUUAGUUUUUUGCUUCGCCGCACCCACCUGCGAGAAGCGGGUUAAUACUUUUUCACACACGGCAUAUGCGGAUUUAUU
rnacentral:other from 1 species